rnacentral:lncRNA from 1 species
AUUUUAUAAAAUCCCACUUCGUGUGCUUGCACUUACUCUUGUUUUCCCUCUCCCCUCCCCUCCCUUGCAAGGUCUCAGUUUGCAAGGAGUUUUUAUCCUAAGGACUCCAAGGAGCUUUUAUCCUAAGUCAGGAAAGAAAUUGGCCAAAAUGCAGACAGCUGUAUUUAAUUGUUUUAUUUAUUUACUAUAUUUCUUUACUCUGUGUUAAAGACUUCUGCAUCUAUAACUGAUGAUGUCCUCAGAGAAAACAGGCACGGCUCCAGGUCUGCGUUGUUUUCCUGGCUUGCAUGGACUUUCUCAAGGCAGGGAGUCCCUCGGACACUUCUUUCCAGGCCUCUAAAGGCUACAGAUAUGCAGCACUGUUGUUCUCAGCUAAAGAUAAAUCAGAUGUGAGAAAUUUUUGUGGAAAUGUGUACAGUCCUGGGGGAGAGCAAGUUCGUCAAGGAAAAGGACACCAUUUCCUGUCUGCCUGGAAGUGAUGAAAAGGUCCCCCCCUGUCCCUCGGCACACAUGAGCACACAUGCUGCGUUUGAAAUCGGGGAACAGCCACCUCAGUAAAGACGAGGCACGUAGGCAUUGACAGUUCCAUCAGGAACCUUUCAUAAACACCUCGUUAUUAUCUGCAGUCAUUGCCACUUGGUCUGGAUGCAGAGCUGCCAAAGGAUUCAGAGGAACUCUGUCAGCAACCUGCCAGUGUUGUCUCAGGAUUUCAGUGCUAUCAGUUUUGAUUAAAGCAGUAUCUUCUGCAUUUGUUUCCCUAAAUGUUUUACUACCUAAUGUAACAAACACAGAUAGAUGUUCUUGGCUCUCGUCAAGAACAAAAAAAUAAAAUUAAUAAAAUCUGUGCA